UACGUAGGGUGCGAGCGUUAAUCGGAAUUAUUGGGCGUAAAGCGUGCGCAGGCGGUUUUAUAAGACAGAUGUGAAAGUCCUGGGCUUAACCUGGGGACUGCAUUUGAUACUGAUUGGCUUGAAUGCAGGAGAGGAUAGCGGAAUUCCCAGUGUAGAGGUGAAAUUCGUAGAUAUUGGGAAGAACACCGGUGGCGAAGGCGGCUAUCUGGACUGUGAUUGACGCUGAGGCGCGAAAGCGUGGGGAGCAAACAGG
rnacentral:rRNA from 1 species